UGACUGCGUACCUUUUGUAUAAUGGGUCAGCGACUUAUAUUCUGUAGCAAGGUUAACCGCAUAGGGGAGCCGGAGGGAAACCGAGUCUUAAUUGGGCGUUAAGUUGCAGGGUAUAGACCCGAAACCCGGUGAUCUAGCCAUGGGCAGGUUGAAGGUUGGGUAACACUAACUGGAGGACCGAACCGACUAAUGUUGAAAAAUUAGCGGAUGACCUGUGGCUGGGGGUGAAAGGCCAAUCAAACCGGGAGAUAGCUGGUUCUCCCCGAAAGCUAUUUAGGUAGCGCCUCGUGAACUCAUCUCCGGGGGUAGAGCACUGUUUCGGCUAGGGGGCCAUCCCGGCUUACCAACCCGAUGCAAACUGCGAAUACCGGAGAAUGUUAUCACGGGAGACACACGGCGGGUGCUAACGUCCGUCGUGAAGAGGGAAACAACCCAGACCGCCAGCUAAGGUCCCAAAGUCAUGGUUAAGUGGGAAACGAUGUGGGAAGGCCCAGACAGCCAGGAUGUUGGCUUAGAAGCAGCCAUCAUUUAAAGAAAGCGUAAUAGCUCACUGGUCGAGUCGGCCUGCGCGGAAGAUGUAACGGGGCUAAACCAUG
rnacentral:rRNA from 1 species